AACGCGAAGAACCUUACCUGGGUUUGACAUAUACCGGACCGCCGUAGAGAUACGGUUUCCCUUGUGGUCGGUAUACAGGUGGUGCAUGGCUGUCGUCAGCUCGUGUCGUGAGAUGUUGGGUUAAGUCCCGCAACGAGCGCAACCCUUGUCCUGUGUUGCCAGCACGUAAUGGUGGGGACUCGCAGGAGACUGCCGGGGUCAACUCGGAGGAAGGUGGGGACGACGUCAAGUCAUCAUGCCCCUUAUGUCCAGGGCUUCACACAUGCUACAAUGGCCGGUACAGAGGGCUGCGAUACCGUGAGGUGGAGCGAAUCCCUUAAAGCCGGUCUCAGUUCGGAUCGGGGUCUGCAACUCGACCCCGUGAAGUCGGAGUCGCUAGUAAUCGCAGAUCAGCAACGCUGCGGUGAAUACGUUCCCGGGUCUUGUACACACCG
rnacentral:rRNA from 1 species